AGUCUUCCUUGACUGACCUACCGCCCUCACUGCUGCACCAUGUAUACCCUGAAACAGGUGGUCAACUUCAGACCUGGUCCCACCAAACUACCACACUCAGUGUUAGAGAUACAAAAGGAAUUAUUAGACUACAGAGGAGUUGGCAUUAGUGUUCUUGAAAUGAGUCACAGAUCGUCAGAUUUUGCCAAGAUUAUUAACAAUACAGAGAAUCUUUUGCAGGAAUUGUUAGCCAUUCCAGACAACUAUAAAGUGAUUUUUGUGCAAGGAGGUGGGUCCAGCCAGUUCAGUGCUGUCCCCUUAAACCUGACUGGCUUGGAAGCAGGAAGGUGUGCGGUCUGUGUGGUGACAGGAGCUUGGUCAGCUAAGGCCACAGAAGAAGCCAAGAAGUUUGGGACUAUAAAUAUUGUUCACUCUAAACAAAAAUUCCAGAUCCAAGCACCUAGAACCUCACCCCGUAUGCCUCCUACGUGUAUUACUGUGCAAAUGAGACAGUGCAUGGUGUGGAGUUUGACUUUAUACCUGAUGUCGAGCAGUACUGGUUUGCGACAUGUCCUCAAACUUACUGUCUAAGUCAGUGGAUGUUUCCAAAUUUGGUGUGAUUUUUUUGUGGUGCCCAGAAGAAUGUUGGCUCUGCUGGGGUCACCAUGGUGAUUGUCCAUGAUGACCUGCUGGGGUUUGCCCUCUGAGAGUGCCCCUUGGUCCUGGAAUACAAAGUGCAGGCUAGAAACAGCUCCUUGUACAACACGCCUCCAUAUUUUUACUUCAUGGGCUUUGUCCUGGAGUGGAUUAAAAACAAUGGAGGUGCCAUGGCCAUGGAGAAGCUUAGCUUCAUCAAAUCCUAAAUGAUAUAUGAGAUUAUUAAUAAUUCUCAUGGAUUCUGCGUAUGUCCAGUGGAACCCCAAAAUAGAAACAAGAUGAAUAUUCCAUUCCAUAUUGGCAAUGCCAAAGGAGAUGAUGCUUUAGAAAAAGGAUUUCUUGAUAAAGCUCUUGAACUCAAUAUGUUGUCCUUAAAAGGACAUAGGUCUGUGGGAGACAUCUGGGCCUCUCUGUAUAAUGCUGUCACAAUUGAAUAUGUUUAGAAGAUGGCCGCCUUCAUGAAAAAUUUUUUGGGGAUGUAUCAGCUAUAAACACAUCCUAACCAGAAUAUACUCUGUUCUUGAACAACAUACAAAGUUUAAAGUAACUUGCGGAUGGCUAGAAAAAGUUGACAAACACAGUAUUUUUCUCAAAUGAACAUGGUUAUUAUAGAUUCUUCUUUUUUGGAAGAACAACAGCAAAACAUCUACAGCUCUGCAAAGAUGGUGGAACCUAAUGUUCGCCUUAAUUCUGACUUGAACUGGAAGCAUUUUAAGAAAUCUUCUCAUUGCUUUUCUAACAAAUUCCAGCUUAUUUUUCCUUUGCUGCUACUUUUUCUAGUUAGAUUUCAAACUUGCCUGUGGACUUAGUAAUGCGAGUUGCAAUUAUUUCUGGAGUCAUGGGAACACAGCAUAGAGAGUAGGUGGGGUCCUCUAGGUGCUGAAUGUAGACAUCUGUGGGGUCUCCUGGGUUCAGCGGCUGUUGAUUCAAGGUCAGUAUUGACCAUUGGGGGAGUGGUUUCAGAGUACCAGGCAAAGGGCAAACUGUAGAUCCAUCUUUAUACUGUUAUUACAAGAGAAGUGACAUAUUUUAUAUAUGUUUAUAUUAGCAAGGUCUGUUUUUAAUACUAUAUAUUUCUAUGCAUUUAUAUUUCUAAUAAUAGAGUUAUCACUGAUACGUGUAGAGACUUUUAGAACUUAUAAAUCCUUGACCUUGUGCAUUAUAGCAUUCCAUUAGCAACAGUUGCACCAGCUCCCUAGUCUUCCCCUUCUUCUUUUUAAACUGUUUUAUGAAAAAAAAGCGAGAAGUUCUUGAUUCAUUUUUACUGUUUUUUCCAUAGGUAGAAGAGAAAGUUGAUUGGUUGGUUGUUUUUUUAAUUAUGCCAUUAAACUAAAC